AAUAGGGUCGGAAAGUCUCGUUUACUUUCACUUUCGAUUUACUACUUCCGGGCAGCUGUCGAAAAAUGUCACUUUGUUUUGCUUUGGUUAUGCUCAGAUGACAGCGUUAAAAUGAACCUACAGCCUAUAUAGAUUCCCUACUUAUGCAAAGAGAGGAAGAAGUGGAUUUAUAGAUGCAGAUGCUGUUAUAUACAUCAUUACCGUCAGAAGUAUCAAUGUGUUGGUGGCUGUUAUGAAGAGAAUGGGCCCAUUUUAACAACUUCUAGGAUGGGCGGUACAAGGGUUCAUACCAGUGACCAAUGAAGCACAGCUGUUACAAGACCAGGAAGAGUCAAAUUCAUGUGGAGUGUGCAAUUGAAUUUAAUUAAAAACAUCCAUAUUCUAAAUCAUAUACCUUCACAAUACAGACAUAUAUAUCUGUCCACUAACAUUUUCAACUCUGUGUGACUCUUGUACAUUUGCAAAUCCUCUACUGAAGGAAAUAGCUGAUAUGAAUUUCACAAUUAAUUAAAUCUUACCUUUGGACUUAGAUACUAUAAAUGUACAACUUCUUACUCACAUUAUUCUGGAUUGUCAAGUUGUAUUAAAUGCAUUCAAGUAAAUGAUAAAGUGAACAUUUAUUUAAGGUUGCUAGUCAAAGAAAUUGUUACAAUGGUGAUUCAUGCACAUCUUCACACUGAUCAUUUGUAGCAAAAACAAAAUAAAACUAAUGGAAGACAA